rnacentral:rRNA from 1 species
UGAUACGGAAGGUCCAGGCGUUAUCCGGAUUUGUUGGGUUUAAAGGGAGCGCAGGCGGACUCUUAAGUCAGUUGUGAAAUACGGCGGCUCAACCGUCGGACUGCAGUUGAUACUGGGAGUCUUGAGUGCACACAGGGAUGCUGGAAUUCAUGGUGUAGCGGUGAAAUGCUCAGAUAUCAUGAAGAACUCCGAUCGCGAAGGCAGGUAUCCGGGGUGCAACUGACGCUGAGGCUCGAAAGUGCGGGUAUCAAACAGGAUUAGAUACCCUGGUAGUCCGCACAGUAAACGAUGAAUACUCGCGGUUGGCGAUAUACAGUCAGCCGCCAAGCGAAAGCGUUAAGUAUUCCACCUGGGGAGUACGCCGGCAACGGUGAAACUCAAAGGAAUUGACGGGGGCCCGCACAAGCGGAGGAACAUGUGGUUUAAUUCGAUGAUACGCGAGGAACCUUACCCGGGCUUGAACUGAGGGGGAAUGAGCCAGAGAUGACUCAGUCUUCGGACUCCCUUGGAGGUGCUGCAUGGUUGUCGUCAGCUCGUGCCGUGAGGUGUCGGCUUAAGUGCCAUAACGAGCGCAACCCUCAUCCUCGUUUGCCAUCAGGUAAUGCUGGGCACUCCGGGGAUACUGCCAUCGUAAGAUGUGAGGAAGGUGGGGAUGACGUCAAAUCAGCACGGCCCUUACGUCCGGGGCUACACACGUGUUACAAUGGGCGGUACAGAGGGCAGCCACCACGCGAGUGGGAGCUAAUCCUCAAAGCCGUUCUCAGUUCGGACUGGAGUCUGCAACCCGACUCCACGAAGCUGGAUUCGCUAGUAAUCGCGCAUCAGCCAUGGCGCGGUGAAUACGUUCCCGGGCCUUGUACACACCGCCCGUCAAGCCAUGAAAGCCGGGAGCACCUGAAGACCGUGACCGCA